rnacentral:rRNA from 1 species
CGGCGUGCUUAACACAUGCAAGUCGAACGAGACGAUUUAGAAGCUUGCUUUUAUUGAGUCGAGUGGCAAACGGGUGAGUAACGCGUAGACAACCUGCCGCAAAGAUGGGGACAACAGUCCGAAAGGACUGCUAAUACCGAAUGUUGUAUCUCCUCCGCAUGGAAGAGAUAUUAAAGAUGGCCUCUACUUGUAAGCUAUCGCUUUGCGAUGGGUCUGCGUCUGAUUAGCUAGUUGGUGGGGCAACGGCCUACCAAGGCGACGAUCAGUAGCCGGUCUGAGAGGAUGAACGGCCACAUUGGAACUGAGACACGGUCCAGACUCCUACGGGAGGCAGCAGUGGGGAAUCUUCCGCAAUGGGCGAAAGCCUGACGGAGCAACGCCGCGUGAGUGAAGAAGGUCUUCGGAUCGUAAAGCUCUGUUGUCGGGGACGAAUGUUGAGACUUAGAACAUAAGUUUCAAAUGACGGUACCUGACGAGGAAGCCACGGCUAACUACGUG